GACGAACGCUGGCGGUGUGCUUAACACAUGCAAGUCGAACGGUAAGGCCCUUUCGGGGGUACACGAGUGGCGAACGGGUGAGUAACACGUGAGUAACCUGCCCUCAUCUCUGGGAUAACAGUCGGAAACGGUUGCUAAUACUGGAUAUGAGCCUGCAAGGCAUCUUGUGGGUUGGAAAGAUUUUUUGGUUGGGGAUGGACUCGCGGCCUAUCAGCUUGUUGGUGAGGUAGUGGCUCACCAAGGCUUCGACGGGUAGCCGGCCUGAGAGGGCGACCGGCCACAUUGGGACUGAGAUACGGCCCAAACUCCUACGGGAGGCAGCAGUGGGGAAUAUUGCACAAUGGACGGAAGUCGGAUGCAGCAACGCCGCGUGCGGGAUGACGGCCUUCGGGUUGUAAACCGCUUUCAAUUGUGACGAAGCUUUUUGUGACGGUAGCAGGAGAAGAAGCACCGGCUAACUACGUG
rnacentral:rRNA from 1 species